CCUACGGGUGGCAGCAGUAAGGAAUAUUGGACAAUGGGCGCAAGCCUGAUCCAGCCAUGCCGCGUGCAGGAUGACGGCCCUAUGGGUUGUAAACUGCUUUUAUACGGGAAAAAACCCCUCUACGUGUAGAGGGCUGAUGGUACCGUAAGAAUAAGGAUCGGCUAACUCCGUGCCAGCAGCCGCGGUAAUACGGAGGAUCCGAGCGUUAUCGGGAUAUAGUGGGCGUAAGGGGUGUUGUGGCGGAUUGGUGAAAUCCUGCAGCUUAACUGUAGAACUGCCAUUGAUACUGCAAGUCUUGAGUACAUAUGAUGUGGGCGGAAUGUGUAGUGUAGCGGUGAAAUGCUUAGAUAUUACACAGAACACCAAUUGCGAAGGCAGCUCACAAAACUGUAACUGACGCUGAGGCACGAAAGCGUGGGGAGUGAACAGGAUUAGAUACCCGUGUAGUC
rnacentral:rRNA from 1 species